UACGUAGGGGGCUAGCGUUGUCCGGAUUUAUUGGGCGUAAAGAGCGUGUAGGCGGCUAGGUAGGUCCGCUGUGAAAACUUGAGGCUCAACCUCAAGAGGUCGGUGGAAACCAUCUGGCUAGAGUCCGGAAGAGGAGAGUGGAAUUCCCGGUGUAGCGGUGAAAUGCGCAGAUAUCGGGAAGAACACCCGUGGCGAAGGCGGCUCUCUGGGACGGUACUGACGCUGAGACGCGAAAGCGUGGGGAGCGAACAGG
rnacentral:rRNA from 1 species